CCUGAUGGUGGUUGUGCGCAGGGCACCUUCGGGUGCGCCGGAAAGCUAGCUCCCCGGUCUAAUAACCUGCGUACAGCCGCCUCCCUU
rnacentral:antisense_RNA from 1 species